CCCUCAGUCCACUCAAUCACCACACCAGCCACCGCCUAGACAUCCUCGCCGCCUCCUUGCCAAAAAUCCCCAAAUCCUCGUCUUCUCGGCGCCGCCGCCGCGCUGUCUUCCUCCCACCAUGCCGCAGCGCUGUCUUCCUCCUGCGAUGCUCGGCUGGCGCCGUCUUCCUCCCGCGGCGCCCGGCUGUCACCGCCGCGCCAUCUUCCUCCCGCGACGCCCGACCGUCACCGCCGUCGCCGCCUUUUGCGGAUUGAUUCCUUCGGCCCGUCGCCGCCGGACCUCGGCGACUGUGGUGGCUACGAAGCAUGGCGCCACCACCGCUAUCCUGAUCUACCUCUCUGUCCCCUUACCCAGGUUCUCAAGUUAAUUCGUGAAUCAUCCUCCCUGAUUCCUUUUCUCAUCCCCAAAUCCUCCCCUGGUUCGCCGCCCUAGCCGGCGCCGCUGCGUUCUUGCGGAGCGAGGGAAAUCACGGCGCUGGCUUCGCCGCCCUCGCUGGUGCCGCCAGGUUCUUGUCGAGCGAGCGAAGGACCAGCGCCGCGACAGAUCUAGCCGGCGCUGGCUGCUUUCUCACGGAGCCAUCGGGCAAGCGCCACAACCGGCCGCCGCCCUCCUCUUCCGAAGCCGGCCACCGCUGCCUUCAGGCGGAGCCAACGGCUUGUGCCGCCUCCUCGCAGAGCUGGUCGGCACUGCCGCUUCUCGGGGAAGCACAGGCCAGCGCCGUUGCCGCCGUCUUUUCGUCGCGUCAGUUCUCAAUGAGAGGUCUUCAUGCAGGUCCCAUGAUCUCGUCAGCUGCUCCUGAUGAAUUCUCUUAGGGACAUCCAAGUUGAUUCUUCUAUAGUUAUAUUGACAAUAUUGCGCAGUGAACCACUGCAGGAUAUUAAAAACAUCGUUCAUUGACUAUGGGCUGCCAUCCAUACAUUUCCAACCACCACACUUUUAGGACAGAUGGUUGACAACUUCUCAAAUAAAGAACAGAUAGUUAAGCAUGGAUGCCUAUCAUGACCUUUCGUGCACAGAAGUGCAAUAUCAUCCAAGACUGCCUGUUGCAGAGGAUCUGAAUUCGUUGCAAUGGGGUUCCUAUAUUUCUUUCUUACUUUCGUGCUCAAUGCCCAAUAGUUGGUAUGUCUUUUGCAAGUUACUAUUGGGUAGUAACAGGCUGCAUAUUACUAAACCUUGGAGUAAAUUUUGCGAGAGUAAACUUGGCCAGUGAUGAAAUACUAAUGGGACAUGCAAAAUAUAAAGUUAUGCCACCACAAGGUUUGCUCUAAAUUUUGCCUAUGACUUUGUCUUUUUGAAUACUUGCUGUAAUUGGACCUACAUGAAAAACUCUUAACCAUAGAAUUGUUCUACAAAUUCUCAUGUAUAGUGAUAUCCUUCUUUUCUAUGUUGUCAUUCUGCAAAUUUUUCAGCUUUCAGCAUGUUUUUGGCAUGAGUUGACCAUCCUGUGGCUUUCAGGGCUUGCAGUACCACUAUGGCAAGCAAAUAACAACUUGGAUGUUGAGCAUAGGUUGUAACUGUUGUAGUUGUACCGUAUACUUUUUAUACCUAAAUACUUAGUUGAUUUAUUUGGAUCUUCGUGAACCAAAAAUGGCCUCUUUUUUUUUUUGCACAGUUGUUCAAUGGAAUUAAUAGCAAUGGCUGAUAGAUGGGGCUUAAGUAACCUGUUCUUCAUUGAUUUGGUCAUCAUUCCUAACUUAAUUCAUUAGUCCUGAAUCCGGCAUCGCCAACAGUACCUCCCAGCAUUGGGUUUGCUAUCUUCAACCAAAUUCUACCAUAAAGCGUGGCAUGAGCCAGGACCAUCUCAGUGCCGGUGAGCACCCACAUGGUGAUUUCUCAGAGUUUGCAAUGUACUACUAUUUGAUUUCUUGAUGUAUGGCUGCAGCAAGUUAGUAAAACAAGCUAUAAUUUAUAAUCAGGUAUUUCAAUCCAUGUACAAGAUGGUUAUCUCCACUUAUUUAAUAUUUCUUAUAUUAUGUGCUAAGUUACAUUGAGA